GACAGAGGGUGCAAACGUUGCUCGGAUUUACUGGGCGUAAAGCGCAUGUAGGCGGAGAGAUAAGUCGGGUGUGAAAUCCCUGGGCUCAACCUAGGAACUGCAUCCGAAACUGUCUUUCUUGAGUAGUGGAGAGGAAAGCGGAAUUCCGGGUGUAGAGGUGAAAUUCGUAGAUAUCCGGAGGAACACCAGUGGCGAAGGCGGCUUUCUGGACACUAACUGACGCUGAGAUGCGAAAGCGUGGGGAGCAAACAGG
rnacentral:rRNA from 1 species